rnacentral:rRNA from 1 species
AUUGAACGCUGGCGGCAGGCCUAACACAUGCAAGUCGAACGAGUGGCGGACGGGUGAGUAAUGUCUGGGAAACUGCCUGAUGGAGGGGGAUAACUACUGGAAACGGUAGCUAAUACCGCAUACCAUCGGAUGUGCCCAGAUGGGAUUAGCUAGUAGGUGGGGUAAAGGAUCACCUAGACGACGAUCCCUAGCUGGUCUGAGAGGAUGGCCAGCCACACUGGAACUGAUACACGGGCCAGACUCAGACGGGAGGAAGCAGUGGGGAAUAUUGCACAAUGGGCGCAGUCCUGAUGCAGCCAUGCCGCGGGUAUGAAGAAGGCCGUCGGGUUGUAAAGUACUUUCAGCGGGGAGGCGUUACCCGCAGAAGAAGCACGGGCUAACUCCGUGCCAGCAGCCGCGGUAAUAC